rnacentral:rRNA from 1 species
UCUGGUUGAUCCUGCCAGUAGUCAUAUGCUUGUCUCAAAGACUAAGCCAUGCAUGUCUAAGUAUAAAUGUUAUACAGUGAAACUGCGAAUGGCUCAUUAAAACAGUUAUAGUUUAUUUGAUAAUCAAAUUUACAUGGAUAACCGUGGUAAUUCUAGAGCUAAUACAUGCUGUUAAGCCUGACUUUUAGGAAGGGCUGUAUUUAUUAGAUAACAAAUCAAUAUUCCUCGUGUCUAUUGUGAUGACUCAUAAUAACUGAUCGAAUCGCAUGGGCUUUGCCCGCGAUACAUCAUUCAAGUUUCUGCCCCAUCAGCUUUCGAUGGUAGUGUAUUGGACUACCAUGGCUUUCACGGGUAACGGAGGAUUAGGGUUCGAUUCCGGAGAGGGAGCCUGAGAAACGGCUACCACAUCUAAGGAAGGCAGCAGGCGCGUAAAUUACCCAAUCCUGACUCAGGGAGGUAGUGACAAGAAAUAACGGACCGAAGCCUAUGUUUCGGGAUUGCAAUGAGUAGAAUUUAAACCCCUUUACGAGGAUCAAUUGGAGGGCAAGUCUGGUGCCAGCAGCCGCGGUAAUUCCAGCUCCAAUAGCGUAUAUUAAAGUUGUUGCAGUUAAAAAGCUCGUAGUUGGAUUUCUGGGAGGGUGCCGAUGUCGUCUUGUUGAUUGUGCAGAGGCGCCCUUCCAUCCUUCUGUUAACGUUUCUGAUAUUCAUUUAUUGGUCUCGGGCUCAGAUAUUUUACCUUGAGAAAAUUAGAGUGUUCCAGGCAGGCUCGCGCCGGAAUACAUUAGCAUGGAAUAAUAGAAUAGGACUUUAGUCUCCUUUGUUGGUUUGAGGGACUGAAGUAAUGAUUAAUAGGGAUAGUUGGGGGCAUUAGUAUUUAAUUGUCAGAGGUGAAAUUCUCGGAUUUGUUAAAGACUAACUUAUGCGAAAGCAUUUGCCAAGGAUGUUUUCAUUAAUCAAGAACGAAAGUUA